UUUCGCGGAGCAGUACAUGUGCAGUAGCUCCGCCCCCGUAGCCUUCCCUUCAUUGCCAAGAAAAGUUGUCCUUGGGGGCGCUUUAGUUGUUUGACGGGUGCACGAUGCGCGCGGUUUGUGUGUGUGUGUGCCAUGCCGUGUUCUGCAAUGCUUCGUUACCACGUUUAUCGAUUAUGCACGUUGGUUACUUGAUUCAAUGUCAAGUGUACCUUCCAAGACGAUCUAGGUCCUAGUCUCGUGACUGAAGGCGAGUGCGGACGUACAGCAGCCUUUUGACAAGACUGUCGCCGAGUGUACGGUACAUUGUGGACUGUAAAGCUGAAGAGUGCACAGUGGAUGCCUGAUUUUGGAACCGAGUGUGAUCGUCUGGGCGGUGUGUUCACUCUGCGGGGAUGAUGGCCAGAGGAAGGAUGAUAGACAGACGACAGCUUGCAGACGAAGAUGGGAGCGUUCUACUUGUGAGCCUGGUCGAGCUUAUAUUUUAUGG